AGUUGCAAAGGUGAUUUGGCUGUGUCAUUUGUCACCUCUUUGAUCACCUGCAUCGAUUCUGUUGAUUAACCUGGACUAGGUGAAUGACUAGCCACCUCUUCCUGCACUGCUGCCACUGUGUGCUCUGUGGAAGAGGACCGCUUCCUCCGAUGAAAUAGGAUAGGACUGUGGUAAGGUCCAAGUGUAGGUGUGGCACGAACAGCUCUGAAUUCAGCCAAAUAUGGAAAGUACUGAAACCUAGAGCUUGGUACGGU
rnacentral:snRNA from 1 species